AUAUAUCAAACUUCUCUCUUGUUGAGUUGUUUGGAUGUGGGGGUUUGCUGGCCUCUUGAAGGGGUAUUUCAGCUCUCCUGAAAUGCAUUAGCAGAGCAAACCUGUUCAUUGGUGUGAUAACUAUCUACGCUUUUGAAUGUGAAAGGGGAGCUAAGCUUUCUAACAGUCUUUGGACAAAAUUCAUCAUUA
rnacentral:misc_RNA from 1 species